rnacentral:lncRNA from 1 species
CAGCCAAAGAUUAGUCAAUUUUGUUUGCUUUCCCAAAAACAAAAACAAAAAUCCAACUCUUUGUUUCAUUGAUUUUUUUUUUCUGUUGUCUUUUUAGUCUCUACUUCAUUUGUUUCGGCUCUAAUCUCUAUUAUUUCCUCUCUUGUGCUGCCUUGGGACUUAGAUUAUUAUUUUUUCCUAUAUUUUAAGGUGUAAAGUUAGAUUACUUUUUUCAGCUCUUUUUUUUUUUUUUUUUUUUUCUAAAUGUAUGUGCUUAUCAUUAUAAGUAAUUGUGAUAAAUGAUGGCUGGGGGAGCUUGAGUUAACUAUAGGGCCCUUCAGGAUCUGGCGUUGCAGAUGGGAUUGUCUCCUGCUGAGCCCUGGGUUAGCAGGUCUACUGUCAGACUUUGGCUUUGAGGGGGCUAGGGACAAGUAUAGGAUGCUUUCAGGAUCUCCAGUGUCACAGGUGGGAGUAUUGCCUAGCAAGUUUCUGUACUCGUAGGGCUGUUCACUGACUGGCUGAGAUAGUCUGGAACUCAGCUAUAGGUCCCUUUCAGAAUCUGUGAUCUGGCUGUAUUUGGCAGCCUUACUUCUAGAGGCUCCCAGGCUGUGGCAAAGAGAGGGCCUGAAGCUGGUUCAUGGACCACUUCAGCACCUAUAGUUGGGACCCAGUUUUGCAUGCCUAUUACCCACCACACACAUGUGUGGGGUAAGUCCUCCCAGGUCCCCGGCAUAUAGUGCUAGUGACAGGACAAAGACAAAUGGGGCUGUAGCCAAGUCCUUAUGGGUAUAGAACUGUUUCUGGGUAUGGAGGUGGGACUUUCAUUGGCAUGUCAGCCACCUGGGGGCAAGCCUGCCUUCUCAAAAUGUCUCUCUUCAGUCUUGAAAUUCACUGAGUUUUCACAGUCUCCUACCAGGCUCCCCAAACCCCAGGAAGGCAUUUGUAUCUGUGGAUAAAUGCCACAUUAUUGUUGUUUACAGGGUAUGAAAAAGGGGGACAUCUUACUCGGCCACUUGCCUGACAUCACUCUACCUUUGGUAUUUUUGGGUGUGGUAAGUGAAAAGCAUUCAAAAUGAAAUUCAUUUUCCAAAGAGAUAUGUUAUCAUUUCAAUACAUUUAUAGAAAAUUACAUUUGUGCAUUUUCUUUUAUUGGGAUUGUGUGUAAUGUUUAAAAACAGAUGAAAAAAAGCGCUUGGAAGAAAAACAAGGUUAAUGGAAAUGAUACGAUUAUCAUAUUUUCUUUCUGGAACACAAGUUUCCUCUAUGUGUCUUUUUCUUCCUUCCUGACUCUCUCUCCCACUCUGCCUACAAAGAAGUGUUUGAUAGAUAAAUUAGGUAACUGUUCUUUGCAUGACUGAAUUGUUUGUGUUGAUACUCAGCAAUUGCAUAUUUAUGUCAACACUUUCCGAUUAUGUUCCAUUUGUAAAAUUUGAAAUCACAAGCUCCAUCCCAGCUUCAGUAGAUAACAGAUGAAAUAUGAGGCAAAGAAAUGGGGAGGAUGUCAUGCUGAUUGCUUUCUGGAAGACUCAAUUUGUAAGCUAGUGAGAACCUAUAUCUUUCCCAGUUGACCUUUCUUGUUACACUUUUUGUACUCUUUUUCUUCUAACACAAAAAUUAUCAUGGGGGUUUGUGGGAGGUUGUUUGAUUCUUGGAACUGCAUAUGUUACUUUGUGUAAUUUAUAGCAGCCCUCUGCAAAUAAUUUAUUAGUUCUUAUUGCUAAAUGCCCUGUGAAAUACUUACCAGUCCAUACUCUCAUAAAAAUAUUGAGACCUUUCCUCCACAUGCAGAUUCUUUCUUAAUUACAUUUAUUUCUGGUACUGGGAUAUUCCCAACAGUGAUGUCAAAAAGAAUGUUAUCAGCCCUUCCCUGUGUUCUAAGGUCCUCCCAGCUCCAACAACAUCUUUCUAUUGUAUUACCUGCUGUUCAGUGAAUUAUUAGCCAUCUGCUACCAGCUUGGUACUGUGAUUUAAGUAUUGUAUCAGGCGGGUACAAAGGGUAAGAAGAUAGAUGUAACACUCUCUUUCUCAGUAGGCCACUUAAUUUGCUUGACAUAUUACACCUUGUAAGUUCCUAUGUCUGUCAACAGACCCUCUCUACCCCCAACCUAGCCUGCAAGUCUGAGGUGUGUUGUUGAUUUUAAAUCUUUCCCCCUUCCAUAGCUCCACAGUAUCUAGGAUGGGCAAAAAUUUUCUAAUUCACAUAUUGAUUCAGAUCCUUAGGUAAUGGUAACUGACAGUGGUAGGGAGAACCUAAGACCAUGCAUUUGCUACUCAGAACUCAUCCAACAGGGAAGAUUUAAUGACUGAUUUGGUUUCUGUUUUUUGUUAUUUUUUCCUAGUGCCAUAUUAAAAACAUUGCUUCACAUACAUACAUUUUCCUAAUCUGUGGAAUACAAUCAUUUAAUUAUAACAGAUUUUGAUCAUAUUUUUAAAAUCUGCAUUAAAAACAAGUUCAUUAGUGGAUUUAUUGCAUAACCAUACUAGAAUCUAUGAGUACUCAAAUUUGAAUUUCUUAAAUCACAGUUAUAUUGCACUGUAACAUGUCAAGAAACAAGGGAUCUCUAUGAAUUAAUUAGACUUGUAAGCUGAGAACAGCUGUCUUGCUUGAGUUUGAACUUGAACUUGGAAGUCUUUUAUUUUGCUAAUAAUUGAAGUUUUUCAUGGAAUAUGUUAAGAAAUCUGAAAAGUAUGGAAGAAAAUUUUAAAUGGAAGUAAAAUAACUUUCAUAAUCCUAUUUGACUCACUACAUGAUUCACAUUAUUCCAUACAUUGUUAUAUUUUUGUUAUAUAUAUGUUUUAUAGUACAAUUAAAAUCAUACUGAAUAAGUAGUGUAUAGUCUAUUCAUUUUACCUAUCAUAACAUAAGAAUUCUCUGAUAUUUGUAAACUCUUCAUAACAUUAUUUUUUAUGGAUUCAGAAUAUUCAAUUAACUGAAAGUGUUUACUUCACUGAAGCAUUCCUAAUACAGUACAUUUUUGUUGAUUUCCCAUUUUUACCACAAUCAACAAUGAGCCAGUGAAUGACAUAAUAUAUUUUAGAUUCUUUUAUUUUACUGCAAGUUAACAUUCAGAGCAAAGGAAAAAGUAUUCUAAGAUAUUACUAAAAAACUUCUUUUAAAAUAAACAAAUGAAUGUUACAAGAUACAUCUUGUACAGUGUAGCUUGUCAACUUUGUUAUUUUCUUAAAUAAACCAGUCAUGUGGGUGUUGGCAACAAAGAUUCCAUCCUAGCAGGUGAUAAAUUUUUAAAUGGCUUUGUGCUGACAAUGAUUCCAGACUUUGGAUAUCCCUUGUUGUAAUAGGUACUAUGGAGGAGAUAAAAAUACAGAAAAGUUUUCAUUUUCGAGGACAGUAAAAUGCAUCAGAUCUCAGACCACAUGUUGCAUAGUGUGCUUAUUGAAGUUUUCAUCUAGAAAAGAUGGAACUAAAAAUGUUGAAAACAAUUAAUUUUAUUUUAUAUACUAUUAACUUUAGGUUGUUAUAGCAACUAUGUAUGCUUAUUGGAAACCAGCAAAAAAUAAAUUCAUCCUAGCAGCAUAUUUUUCUGAGUUUAAAGUUAGUGUAACACUUCACUCUGGACAACUUUCACAGCGUGUUCAUAAGAAGGAUCCCUUUUAGGGCAGCCUGCGUGGCUCAGCAGUUUAGCUCCUGCCUUCGGCCAAGGGCCUGAUCCUGGAGUCCUGAGAUCGGGUCCCACGUUGGGCUCUCUGCAUGGAGCCUGCUCCUCCCUCUGCCUGUCUCUGCCACUC